AUUGAACGCUGGCGGCAGGCCUAACACAUGCAAGUCGAACGGUAACAGGGAUCAGCUUGCUGAUUCGCUGACGAGUGGCGGACGGGUGAGUAAUGUCUGGGAAACUGCCUGAUGGAGGGGGAUAACUACUGGAAACGGUAGCUACUACCGCAUAACGUCGCAAGACCAAAGAGGGGGACCUUCGGGCCUCUUGCCAUCGGAUGUGCCCAGAUGGGAUUAGCUAGUAGGUGGGGUAACGGCUCACCUAGGCGACGAUCCCUAGCUGGUCUGAGAGGAUGACCAGCCACACUGGAACUGAGACACGGUCCAGACUCCUACGGGAGGCAGCAGUGGGGAAUAUUGCACAAUGGGCGCAAGCCUGAUGCAGCCAUGCCGCGUGUAUGAAGAAGGCCUUCGGGUUGUAAAGUACUUUCAGCGGGGAGGAAGGGAGUAAAGUUAAUACCUUUGCUCAUUGACGUUACCCGCAGAAGAAGCACCGGCUAACUCCGUG
rnacentral:rRNA from 1 species